rnacentral:rRNA from 1 species
GACGAACGCUGGCGGCGUGCUUAACACAUGCAAGUCGAACGGAAAGGCCCUGCUUUUGUGGGGUGCUCGAGUGGCGAACGGGUGAGUAACACGUGAGUAACCUGCCCUUGACUUUGGGAUAACUUCAGGAAACUGGGGCUAAUACCGGAUAGGAGCUCCUGCUGCAUGGGGGGGGUUGGAAAGUUUCGGCGGUUGGGGAUGGACUCGCGGCUUAUCAGCUUGUUGGUGGGGUAGUGGCUUACCAAGGGUUUGACGGGUAGCCGGCCUGGGAGGGUGACCGGCGACAUUGGGCCUGAGAGACGGACCAGACUCCUAUGGGAGGCAGCAGUGGGGAAUAUUGCACAAUGGGGGGAAGCCUGAUGCAGCAACGCCGCGUGCGGGAUGCCGGCCUUCGGGUUGUAAACCGCUUUCGCCUGUGACGAAGCGUGAGUGACGGUAAUGGGUAAAGAAGCACCGGCUAACUACGUG